UAAUAGGGUAUGUAAGUCUCGUCAUGUGACUUGCGAGAUUUCACGAUAUUUUGCACUUCCGGGUACAAACAAAUAUCAACAACAUUGCUUAUCUAUAUUGGGUAAUACUUGUAUGCCGGUGGGAAAGUAAAACUUACACGGAAAAACAAAGGACAUGUGGAAAUUGGCAGAGUUUUUUGUUUUGUAACGACAUGCAAAUAGUUUCAUCUUGUGAACAAGUAUCAAUGAAAGACAACUUCGUAUAAUCUUCAGAUAUUUAGACUGAGGACAGUGGUGCGAUGAAAGACGUCAGUAUCCGAUGUAAAUACACAUGCAUGCUCUGCUGUAAAAUCGUUUUGGUAUGUGAUUACAUGGUUGGAUCUUGAGUACUUGUCAUGGCUCUUGAUUUAUUUUGGAGUAUUCACCAUCAGAUUAGAAACAGACAUAGUUGAAAGGAAAUGUCCAUACACAGUCUUGGAGUACAUAGUGGUAGAGACAUGGCAGUCCAUUACAGAUUUUGACUGAAUUAAAGCUUCUUAAAGCUCCAUGUCUUGUGUAAACUGUCUAACUGAAUGUUUGUAUUCUAAUAAAAACUAUAUAAGGUUUGAGACAUUUCAAAGAUAUAUGUCAGUGUAAAAAUGUUAAACAAAAUAUCUGUCUUUGUUAGAAAUAAAUAACCUUAACCUUAUUAAUCUAGCCAUUGCUGUUAGAGAAUUAAAGUACACAGUGACACUUAUUUUGCAGAUGAACCCUUAUGAUCAAGUACUGCUAUAAAUAUAUGCCAAAUAGUAGAAACAAAAAACAGUUCAUAAGUUUGAUAAUUUUUUAUU